rnacentral:misc_RNA from 1 species
AAAAGAUGGGCGCUGGCAACAUGCUUGGUCCUCCUGGUAUUUCUACUUUAAACAAGAAUGCAAGCAUAAUUUCUUCAUUGUAAUACAUACCACACUAGUCAAGUAAUACACAGACAGAAGAGAAGUCAUCAGCUCUUUGUAAUUGCCAUUUAUAUAAAUUAUACCGGUCAACACAAUUGGGCAAGCAGUACAAAUGUUGAGCUGGGGAUCACAAUUUUCUUCAGCAACUACUUUUUUAGUUCAAUGCAAGGCGAAAUAAAAUUGGUAAAUGAAGCUCGCGUAGAAAAGAAUGUGAAUGAAAUGAAUUUUUCAUAGUUGGCACCACCAGUGAAAUCCCAGUCCAGAUUUGUCUACAACCAUCUGCAAUUGGCAUCAUUUAUUGUGGAACAAUGAAUUCUCCUCUUGCAAUAGAAGAGUAAGUACUCUGCAUAUGGCGUACAUCCUUCUCAACACACCUCUUUGAUCCGGAAAAAUAAUUACAGGUUCACCACCAAAACACUAAUGAUACAGACAAGUCAACGUUGCAACAAUAACUCGCUAUCGAUUUUACAAUAUUACAUGAGUAAUGAUAUGACAACUAUUUGACAGACAAACCACCAUAAACUUAAGGAUUUAUGCUUACUUGGAAGUAGUUGCACCCAUUUACCUCACUCGUGGAGGUUGUUGACAUGCUCUACUUCCAUCCUGC